GAUGAACGCUGGCGGCGUGCCUAAUACAUGCAAGUCGAGCGAACAGACGAGGAGCUUGCUCCUCUGACGUUAGCGGCGGACGGGUGAGUAACACGUGGAUAACCUACCUAUAAGACUGGGAUAACUUCGGGAAACCGGAGCUAAUACCGGAUAAUAUAUUUAACCGCAUGGUUCAAUAGUGUAAGACGGUUUUGCUGUCACUUAUAGAUGGAUCCGCGCCGCAUUAGCUAGUUGGUAAGGUAACGGCUUACCAAGGCAACGAUGCGUAGCCGACCUGAGAGGGUGAUCGGCCACACUGGAAGUGAGACACGGACCAGACGACUGCGGGAGGCAGCAGUAGGGAAUGUGCCGCAAUGGGCGAAAGCAUGACGGAGCAACGCCGCGUGAGAGAUGAAGGUCUUCGGAUCGUAAAACUCUGUUAUUAGGGAAAAACAAAUGUGAAAGUAAAUAUGCACGGCUUGACGGUACCUAAUCAGAAAGCCACGGCUAACUACGUG
rnacentral:rRNA from 1 species